rnacentral:lncRNA from 1 species
CAUAAUCCAAUCACAAACAACUUGGAGAGCAAAAAUCAAAAAUCAAGGCAUAAAGGUAUAAAAACCCUAAUUUUCGAAAUCCUUUGAUUUGAUGUUAAUUGUUGAAAUUGAUUUGUUAAAUAUGUGUAAUAAGGAGUGUAUUAAUGUUCUGGGUUGUUAGAUUCAUGACCCAUAACAUCAAAGUGCUCAAAAUCAAAGUUUUUCCAACUUUUAAAAAAACCGAAAUCUGUUAUUUUUAGGCAAAUGUCAGGCCUUAUAUCUCUGUGAUUAUUUAGUAUUUUUGGUGUUUGUAAGUUG